UUUAACGGCCGCGGUACCCUAACCGUGCGAAGGUAGCAUAAUCACUUGUUCUUUAAAUAGGGACUAGUAUCAACGGCAUCACGAGGGUUACACUGUCUCCUUUCUCCAAUCAGUGAAACUGAUCUCCCCGUGAAGAAGCGGGGAUAAAACUAUUAGACGAGAAGACCCCAUGGAGCUUUAAGCUCAACAACAACUCUUAUGAAAAUAAUUCCCCAUAGUAUACGAACCCUGUUUGUUAGCUUUAGGUUGGGGUGACCGCGGAGUAUAAUUAAACCUCCACGGCGAAAGGGCAUAAAACCCUAAUCCAAGAGCCACUGCUCUAAGAAUCUUUUAAUUGACGUACAAUGAUCCGAUUUUCGAUCAACGAACCAAGUUACCCUGGGGAUAACAGCGCAAUCCAUUUCUAGAGCCCCUAUCGACAAAUGGGUUUACGACCUCGAUGUUGGAUCAGGGU
rnacentral:rRNA from 1 species